rnacentral:rRNA from 1 species
GAUGAACGCUGGCGGCGUGCCUAAUACAUGCAAGUCGAGCGAACAGACGAGGAGCUUGCUCCUCUGACGUUAGCGGCGGACGGGUGAGUAAAACGUGGAUAACCUACCUAUAAGACUGGGAUAACUUCGGGAAACCGGAGCUAAUACCGGAUAAUAUAUUGAACCGCAUGGUUCAAUAGUGAAAGACGGUUUUGCUGUCACUUAUAGAUGGAUCCGCGCCGCAUUAGCUAGUUGGUAAGGUAACGGCUUACCAAGGCGACGAUGGGUAGACGACCUGAGAGGGUGAACGGCCACACUGGAAGUGAGACAGGGUCCAGACACCUACGGGAGGCAGCAGUAGGGAAUCUUCCGCAAUGGGCGAAAGCCUGACGGAGCAACGCCGCGUGAGUGAUGAAGGUCUUCGGAUCGUAAAACUCUGUUAUUAGGGAAGAACAAAUGUGUAAGUAACUAUGCACGUCUUGACGGUACCUAAUCAGAAAGCCACGGCUAACUACGUG